rnacentral:rRNA from 1 species
CAGUCGCCGCGGGAAUACGUAGGUCCCGAGCGUUGUCCGGAUUUAUUGGGCGUAAAGCGAGCGCAGGCGGUUAGAUAAGUCUGAAGUUAAAGGCUGUGGCUUAACCAUAGUACGCUUUGGAAACUGUUUAACUUGAGUGCAAGAGGGGAGAGUGGAAUUCCAUGUGUAGCGGUGAAAUGCGUAGAUAUAUGGAGGAACACCGGUGGCGAAAGCGGCUCUCUGGCUUGUAACUGACGCUGAGGCUCGAAAGCGUGGGGAGCAAACAGGAUUAGAUACCCCUGUAGUCCCUGUCUCUUAUACC